rnacentral:rRNA from 1 species
AGUGAACGCUGGCGGCAGGCCUAACACAUGCAAGUCGAGCGGCAGCGCGGGGGCAACCCUGGCGGCGAGCGGCGGACGGGUGAGGAAUUCGUCGGAAUCUGCCUUUUUGUGGGGGAUAACGUAGGGACACUUACGCUAAUACCGCAUACGUCCUACGGGAGAACGUGGGGGACCGCAAGGCCUCACGCAGAAAGAUGAGCCGACGACCGAUUAGCUAGUUGGUGGGGUAAAGGCCCACCAAGGCGACGAUCGGUAGCUGGUCUGAGAGGAUGAUCAGCCACACUGGGACUGAGACACGGCCCAGACUCCUACGGGAGGCAGCAGUGGGGAAUAUUGGACAAUGGGCGCAAGCCUGAUCCAGCCAUGCCGCGUGUGUGAAGAAGGCCUUCGGGUUGUAAAGCACUUUUGUCCGGAAAGAAAACCCUGGAGCUAAUACCUUCGGGGGAUGACGGUACCGGAAGAAUAAGCACCGGCUAACUUCGUG